CCCUGCGUGUUGACGUCUGGUCAGUUUGGAUGUUUGGGCGCGUACAGCUAACUGGCUAGUUCGGGGAGCUAACAAAACGGAGUUCGUGACUAAAAAAUAUGCCCUUUGCAUCAGAGAUCCUCAGGUAGAGACUAACAGUCAUUCUGAUAGGGAGGAGAUGGAGCAGUCUAGCAGCAGGUUGUACUCAGGACCUCUGUCCCAGGCGGCUCAGAAGAUUCUGGCUGUUCUGCGAGCCCAGAGCAACCACUCCAACAAUCACAGGCAAAUGGAGAGGUAUUAUGGCAGCCAGAGGGAGCCUUGGGCUCAGAGCAGCAGGAGCAUGAGUCAGGAGAAGAGAAAAGACAGAGACACGGAUCGGCCAUGGUCCAGACCCCAGGUGUCGUCAUUUUCCACCUCUCACCACAGUUCUUCCAACGAGCAGCAGAGCUCUCAGACCUCAGCCUACUAUCAGUACUCGCAGACACUAGACAGCUCCCUUUCAUCCCCGGCCUCCUCCUGCUGGGAUUCCUCGUUCCAAAGGCAAACGUCUCAGAUGGAAGCCUAUUAUCAGCGCUCACAGACUUAUUCCCACAGAAAGUACUCCCAACCCCCUGCUUACCAGUCCAGCCAGGCUCCAUCAUUCACUCAGUGUGAGGCUUCUGAGGUGGCAGCAUGCUACUCCCUUAGAGACAGAUUCACCCUGGCCCUCCAAAUACCUGAGAGACCUUCUGAACAUCAGUGUAGAAACUCCACUGACAAAAUCAGGCCGUCUUUCAUCCUCCGUCUUUCUCCAGACGACGAGAGUCCUGAUGAGAUAUUGUUCCGCACAGUGGAACACCCAAAAGCCCAUAAAAAGGAGCCUGGUUUUGCUUGUCAUCCAGUCUCAUCCUGCCGUAAAAUAAGUGUUGAGACCGAUAACGGCACCAUAGGUGCAGUGAAAGAAAAGAAAGUUACAAAAAGCUGGAAUAUCCUCAGAAAUGAGCUAGAAGACGCUGUAGCUUCAGACAGUCAACUAAAGUGGAAGCGACCUCAGUCUGACCCCGCUGAGGAGGCCAUUAGUGGAGAAGAUGGAGGCGUAUUACAUCAACAAUCAGAGUCUGAAACAAUCAAAACUGGAAGGAUACAUUUACCUCCCAGUGGUUUUGUAACAAGUCAGGAGACACGCUGUGAUGCACAAUCACUCAAACCAAUGAGACAUCUAGAUGUGGAGGAGGAACUGAUAAUGGAUUCAGAAAAUAUGACUCGGGCAGGAACAGAACAAAUGUCAGACAGAGACAAUGCAAUGCACAGUGGAGCAAAUGGAGUCAAGUAUGAAGAGACAGGACAAAUGGAUGCAACCAGUGAGACUCAUUUAGGGAGGGAUCUGGACUUGGCAUGUACAAGUAAUAUGGACAAACAAAGCUUCCAUUGUUAUUCUGAGGGUUCAAAGUCUAAGCAGAAAGAAGAUAAUGACCCGGAGUACAGACUUAAUACACCAGGAGUCAAAGAUGUUGAGCAACCACCUGGCAUUGAGAAUAAAGAGAUAGCAGUGGGAUAUCAUUCCAGCAGUCCAGAAAAUAUCUCAGUAGCUUUAGAAAGGGGAAACAACAAGGUGAACCCCUGCCAAGCUGAGAACCUUCAAGUCAUGGGUCAGACUGAAACAGCAGAGGAGCACCACACAGAGGAGGCACUGGUGCAGGUGCAGUGUGAGCCCACCACAUUAGUCCUGGGUGAAAACACUGCUAAUAACCUGGACAGACCCACAGUGGAAAGAGAUGUGAUAGAGGGUGGAUCAGAGAUGGAAACAGAGAUUGGGAGAAACGCAGGCAUUCGCACAGGCACUGAGGAUGAGAUGGAGACUGAAGAGCCUCAUUGUUCUGAUGUCCAGCUAAGAGAUGAACAGUGUGAGAUAGAUUAUAGAGAAGCUAAAGAGUUACCUAGAGGAGACACUGAGCCAAAAGAGAGAGGGAUAGAGAGAGACGAGUCAGUGAUGCCACCUGUGAACAGUGAGGAUGAGAGUACACCUACAGAGGACUCAGGGAGAGAGAGGUGUCCCACGCCAACGCUGUCUCAGGAGUGCAAGGCAAGAGGGUCAAUGUUCAAAGUGGCCUGUCUCAGUGGGAACCACCAGCACCGUGACAGUGUGCAAGCUGCUAAUAGAAGCAUCAGUGGGAGCAGCUCAAGGAUAAAACUGGCCCCAGCAGGCACUUUUGCUACUGGACUUAACUCCUCCACAGUCCAGGACUUGGCCUCAUCUGCUAUAAAACCAAACAAAAAGCUGGAAAACUGCAAACUGCCUACUUUCCAGACUCAUUUACGUCAGCCUUCUCCGAUCCCCUCCUUCCCCCUAAAGAGGAAGCAUGAAGCACUUCAGCACCAAAAUGAAAACACUCCUCACAAAGUUUGCCCAACCAGGCAUCCUCCAAAAUGGGAGCCAAGUCAUUCCUCACAAGAAAAGGCAAGAGAAGGAGGAGUCCGUGAGUGGAAAAGAAUCAGGCCCAAAACCCCUGUCUCUGAACACUCAGCUGAACCAACAGAACCACAGACUAAAGCCAGUCAAACUCAACAAAGCUGCAGUAAGAUGGAAGAACGAGGACAUGAAUCUACUAAACAGACCCCAGUCUCUGUUACCUUCAAACCACCCAAGCACAAGCAGGCCAAGCGUGGGCCUGACCGUGACAGAGUUGGGUUAAAAAUAUCCCAUGAACUGUCGAGUGCUGAUGAACCCCAAUCCAGAGCUGGCUACCUGACUGAAACCCUGACAUCUGACUCCAGAGUGAGGGAUUCUGGGAAGCUGAAUAUGGACGAGAAGAUGCAGAUGCUUGAGAAGGCUGGGCGGGCCAAGGCGCUGGUGCUAACCAUGGUGUAUCAGGACGGAACCACUCAGCUAGACCCAGAACAGAAGCUCACUCCACCAGUGUGUGGCCUCCUCGUGCUGAUGAAGAAUGAUCUGGACUGCAGCGUGCCAGAGGACUCUCUCGGGCCAAACGACAGUCUGGUCUACUUAAAACUGGAGCAAACACCUGCAUGGGCCCAACAACACACACAUCAGAGCCAGGAGCUCUUUACUAGGGAUAUGCUGCUACAGGUACUAUCAAAAUCUCAGCUGGUGGUGUGCUAUAAAGCCAAGGAUUUGCUUCGUACAACUCUGCAGUUUUACAAACAAGACCUCAGCUGGAAACAAGUGGCAGGCUGUCAUAUCCAGGACCCACAGGUGUCAGCAUGGCUACUGGAUCCUGCAGAUCCCUCCUCUUCCUACCAGGAUCUCCUCAAAAAACACGGCAAAAGACCCAGUACAGCACCUGCCCUGGGUACCAAGAAGGUUCCUCAGGUCAUCUCAGGACUCACUUCGCUCUACUCGCUUAAUAUGGAGCUAUGCUCUAAACUACAGAGCCAGGGGCUGUGGAAGCUUUAUUCAGACAUGGAGCUGAACAUGAUCCCUGUCCUGGCAGCCAUGGAGAGCCAUUGCAUCCAUGUGGACAAAGAAGCUCUUAAGAGAACUUCAGACCUGCUGGGGACUAAGAUGAAGCAGUUGGAGCAGGAGGCUCACAGAGCAGCAGGGCAAAUAUUCCUGGUCACCAGCAACACUCAGCUACGAACAGUUCUGUUUGAGAAGCUGCGUCUCCACGAGCGCUGUGAGAACAAGAAACUUCCCAAGACCGUCAACAAACAGCAGCAGUCAACAUCCGAAGCUGCAUUGUUGCAGCUCCAGGACCUGCACCCUCUUCCAAAGAUCAUUCUGGAGUACAGACAGGUUCACAAGAUCAAGUCCACUUUUGUCGAUGGAAUUCUCUCAUGCAUGAUGAGCAAGAACUACAUUUCCUCUACAUGGUACCAGACAAGCGUUGUGACUGGGAGAAUCUCGGCGAAACAGCCAAACUUCCAGGCCCUGCCAAGACAGCCGCUUCAACUCACCAAGAAGCAGUACAUCCAGGGGAAGGAAGAGGAGGUGGUGACUGUUCACCCUCGAGCCUUGUUCAUCCCUCAGAAGGGCUGCUCCUUCCUUGCUGCAGACUUCUGCCAGGUGGAGCUGCGUCUGUUGGCCCAUCUCUCCUCCGACCCUGAGCUGCUCCGCAUCUUCACUAACCCCCAGGCCGACGUCUUUACCAUGCUGGCCUCUCAGUGGAAGGGAGUGAGUGAGGGUCAGGUGACCUCUGAGGAUCGGGAACAUGCCAAACGCAUUGUCUACUCUGUUGUGUAUGGAGCAGGUCGUGAGCGUCUGUCAGGGAUCUUGGGGGUGAGUGCCGAUCAGGCCAGGCAAUUCCAGGACAGCUUCCUCCAGACCUACAAAGAAGUCCAGGUCUUCAUCCAGAGGACCAUCCAGCUGUGCCACAAACAAGGUUAUGUGCUCUCCAUCAUGGGCCGUCGGCGGACCCUCCCUCACAUCAACUCUCCAGAUUGGGGCAUCCGCAUGCAGGCUGAGAGACAGGCUGUCAACUUUAUGGUCCAGGGUUCUGCUGCUGAUCUCUGUAAGAUGGCCAUGAUCAGAAUCUUCAACCUGGUCUCCUCCUCCACCUCGCUCUCUGCCAGACUGAUAGCGCAGCUCCAUGAUGAGCUUCUGUAUGAAGUGGAGGACUCCCAGGUGGAGCACUUUGCAGCCUUGGUGAAGCACACCAUGGAGUCCCUGCAGCAUGUAGACCAUCUGGGCGUCCAUCUUAAGGUCCCCUCUCUUUUUCAGCGGAGCGGCCCUUCACUUUGCCUGUUGAACCCGCUAAGAGGGAAUGCGCUCCCCGUGUGCUGAUGUGAGAGAAGCUUUUUCUCAGCAGGAGCAGAGGUCUGAGGGUCCCUCUGAAGACUCCGGUUGUCAAGGGCAACAGCAUGAGCUUCCCCUCGCUGCCAUGACAACCAUGAGAUGUGUAAGUAGACCCUGCGGCACAUAUCCUUGCGGCUAUGAUUUCUGACACAUAUGUCACUUGAAAUCUAAUAUUUACCUCUAAUUAUUCGCAGUGUGCAUCAUUUCCCUUCUCAACUCUCUCCCAGUAAAAUAAAUAAAUGAAUAAAAAUCAGUUUACAGUUGCAACAUAUAAAAGCUUAAUGCAUCAUCAUUUUUAAUUGAUACAAUAUAUGUACAUCCAUGUUUCAAUCAUCGUCAUAAUGCAAGAAAUCCCAUCUUUACAUCUAUACAGUGUUCCAGUUGUUGUCAGUAUAAAAGAAAGCGUUAAUAAUCACAAUAAUAAUAGUAAUCCCAGUGUGGUAAUACAGCAGUCUUCCAAAGGAAUGGCAGAAAGGGAACUGAAAGCUAAUAGACCCCAAUAAAAACCAGGUUGUCACUGCAGUCUCACUGAGGUUGAGGCAGACCGGUUGAACCAGCAUCUACACUAUGUUAUGGUCUUUCUCUGACCUGCUUCUUCAUCUCCGUCUCCCUGGGAAUCAGUAAAUCUGCUAAAUCACCGCUCCAUGCCUCUCCUGUGUGCUGUGCAUGAGAAUCUUGGACCAACAUUGUCCCUCUCUAAUUUUGACCCUGCUUUUCACCUCUUCCUGUAACCUCUCUAACCCAGUGGGCCCCAGGCGCUAUUUACUCAUUGCUCCACUUUACGUGCCUAUGGGCCCCCUUUCUCAAAUUCCUCACCCUCGCCAGAGCACCCGUCUUUCCCCUACAGGUCCCACCCCACUCCCCGCCCCCAUGUUACAAAGUUCCCUCAGUUGCAAAUUUAACUCCCUUCCCCCCGUAAGUCCAUCCAUCUCAUCCAUCUAUCCAUCAAUCCCUUCUUCCAUUCCUGCAUCAUGGCUGGUUAGUUGACCUGCCUGCCUCCCCACAGUGUGGCUGCAUAUCAAUCCCCUGCUGUGCUUUGUGCGGGUUGGUUUCCUGGCAACAGACAACAGCCAUGACAGGGCUCCAGGGCAGAGAGAGCCCCCUUUGCCUUGCAGCAGCUUGCUUUAGCCAGAUAGCUCAGUCCAGAGCCACUCAUAUUCAUGACCUUGGCUGGUGUGUGCUAUAAGCUAACAGAGCUGCUGCUGUUGCAGUGUUUUAGGCUCUCUCUGAUGACUUGAGAGUUCAAGCAGACAGGACAAGGACAAGGAAGGCUGUGUCUGAUCCCAUCAGUGUGGGACAGACACCGGGGCUAAGAUGGCGUGUGCUGUCGCCCCUGAAAGUGGCUGCCAUUAGUCUGUAUGGGAUUGUUGUGAGGUAGUACAGAUUAAGACACCUGCACUACUGUAGAAUCUCUUUAUUAGUGUUGUAAAUAUCUUUAAAAUAUAUUUUAUAUAUUUUAAAUCCACAGUUUCUGUUACAAAAGGAGUAAAAAUGACCCCCAGAUGCUAUUUACAGUAAAAUAUACUUUACAACUUUACAGUUACUAACUUGCAGAUUCAAAAAAAGACUUUGAAUCUCACUUGUAAGAAAAGUCAACAUGGUUGAGUGUUGUGAUUCUGGCAGCUGCAGCAUGUUUUUAAUUGAUUAUUUUCAAUCGUACUGACAGAGUGGUGGUAGUGAAGUUUGUCUUAUUGGUACAAGUUAAUCAGAAGUUUUUGUGGUUAAAUAAAAGCCCAGUUAAGAGACUUACAGCAGAUAGCACUUUCAGAGUGUGAUCACGCCAUCUUUUUUUUGUCCUGUCUGCUUGAUCUGCUCAUUCUUUAGCAUCCAUUAUCCCCCUCUUGUCAUUUUCCCCAUUUCCUAUUGACAUCUGUACAAAUAUGCAGAGGUACACCUGUGUACUUCAACUUUGAGUUUUUAAAAAACACAUCUUUGACACCUCUUUGUAAAGAAAAAUACAAAAAACAGAAACAUUUUACAAUCAAACACCCCUUCAGGCUUCGAUAUGAUGAGUGGUAAUGUUGCAAUGCCAAUACUGCGAUGGCAUCGCUGCCACUAAUUGGUACAGUAUAAGGGAUAUAACAUCAAUGCAGCAUUUCAUGAUUUUAAUAAAAUCCUUGUAUAUAGCGUGUCAUUAUUUUGUGGAUUUGUCGGUUUGUUUGUAUUUAUUGCUUGACUAGAUGGCACGUGGGCAGGAUUUUUUUCCAAAUAAUACCAAAUAAGUAUAGGGCUGUGUUGAACAAAAUAUAGCCACAUGAGGAAUAAAAAUGCAGCAAUUACUGUCACCUUUGGCAAAUUUCCACCUCCAAAAAUAGCCGUGGGUCAUAGUAUGAAUUAUAUAUUAUGGUAUCAUGUCUUGUAUAUAUGCUUAGGAUACAUACAGUCAGUAAUACAGGAGAAAGAGAAACUUUAUCCAUAUUCUUCAUAGGAAAUAUAAAAAAAUCCAAACUACCUGUACUGUAAUAGCAAAACAAGACACAGUUGUGCUACAAGUGCUUAUGUGUUCUUGGCACCUGUGGCCUCAGUCCAGAGUGAGUCCUUCCAUAUUUGCCACAGUGGAGCAAAAUCCUCACCAGAGGUAGAGAGAGAGAGGGAGUCCAUGCUGUGGAGCUCUGAUGCUGGCAGACCUCCUCCCGCCGCCCCACCACAACGCCCCCCCCCCCUUGCAACUGCCAAUGUGGUACAUUCCUCCCUCGCCCCUCGCCCUCCUCGUUAGGUGGAACAUUCCAGACGACAGCCAUCUUCUGAGACAAAAAUGAACUCCAUCGGGGUUGGUUAAAACCAGCAAAAAAUGACAGGUUGCAGUAAAUAAUACAUUUGUAAUAGUAGCGAUACGGAUAUUUACAAUCACACAAAAUUUCUAACAUCUAGUGUAGUGGUUUAAUCAGUUAAUGAAAGAACCAAUAGCUGCUUUUCACCGCUUUCCACUGUUCUUCCUCAUUCAUAAAGUAAAAAAAAAAGCAACCAGAAAAGAUUCAAAACAUAAAAAAUCUUUCUAAGACCUUAAAUGUUGGCAGUUUACAUUCAUGCCUGUGAGUGUUUGCCCCCAAGGCUGUUGAGCAUCAUGGACACACACCAUCAGAGUAACACAACACACCCACAGGAUCUGUACAUUUGUGCAGUUUUGAAUUCUAUGCUCCUUCACCAGCAGAGAAACUGAAUAACAGGUUAAUCAUGACAAAUUUUAGAUAUUUUUACCAAACUGAAUGUGGCCAUAUUAAAAAAAAAAAUGCUGAAGUCAAAGCUUCAGUGGCCUCAGCUUGUGCCUCUGUGUUUGCCAUCAGAGAGAGAGUGUCAGAUGAUCAUUUAUUUGGGUUCUAAAGCACUCUAAACUAGAAGAGCCUUCUCCAGCUGGAGAGGCCUUUAUGCAGCAUACCUUCUCAAACCUCAACCAAUGGGAAAGCACACUCGCACUCAAACAAAUCACAGAAAACCAACUAGAAAAAGUGUGAGAUUGUUUUUGGAUUGUACAUCAGCAGAACAUUUCAGAGGAAUGGUUUGUAACUAAAUGUACACUCUGGUAGAAGUUGCAUACAGUUUAAUUACUACAUUCUAACAUUAAGUAUGCAAUACCAGCUUUAAAUGGGGAGGUGAGACUUCACAGGGUAUAGCAUAGCAUUCACAUGAAGUACAAAACAGACAUAAAUCCAUUAUAGUCAGUGCACUUCAUCUUUACAAUUCAAAAUCACCCUUUAACUACCUUAAGCCAUGCAGUCCACAAGAUAUUUGAACUUGUUUGAUUCCAGUGCAUAAGGCCUUGGCAUAGGCGUUUUUGAAUGUUACCUUUGUUCAGAAUAUGUACCAUGACAGAUAAGAAUUUAUCCCAAAAUACACAAAGGAGCAUUUUUUAAAUUUCAUCAGGCAAAAACUGAGAUUGGCAGCAGCAGAAAUGGCUCAGAGUUGACAGACUUCACAUUCUUCCACAAGAUCCAGACUACAGUUUUUUUUGUUUGUUUGUUUGUUUGUUUUUUUUCUACAGUCCACCUCAGCAAAGCCCACCUCUCACUCUCAACCUUCAGACCUCACCCAAGUCUUAUAAAGAAUGAGUCAUACAGUAAGGACCUAAACCCACUGGCAGCGGUUACUGACAUCAGUCAUUUCAGUCCAGAUUAGUUUCUCAGUAUUUCUGUGAGGAUAUCUGAAGCUUCAGCACCUUCAACUGUGAUUUUACUUUAGGUGAAAUAGAUGGUUUACAGUCUGAUUCUUAUAUUGGAAGUGUUCAUACCCUAGUUUGGCUGUUGUAUCCUAAUUUCCUGCUUAGUUUGAUGGGAAGUUUGGAAGUACUAUAUGAAUGUCAGUGGUAGCUGCUGCUCCAGAAACAUCACAGAAGUACAGUCUGGUCCUCUUCUCACUCUCCAGCAACAACCAAGUUCAAAGCAGAUGCAUCAAAGUAGUGUGAGGCAUCCUCCACAUGUUGGCCCAAUGAAAACAUCUGAUGCUUUUCUUUUUUUAACAAUACUGUUUGAUGCUUUCAGUGCAUUUGUGCCCUGCGUUUACUUUGUAGAACUUCAUAGGGAAAUCAUAGUUGACUAAAAUUAAGACAAAGAACUUGUCAGUAGCUAAACCUCUUCUAGACGUGUCUCAUUUCACAUGGCUUGAACAAAGUGAGGGAAGGGGAAGAAGCCUUAGUACCACUGGACCUGACAUGCAUAGGCAUCUCAGGGGCUUAGUUAAGGUCAACUGUUGUCCCUUAUGAACUGAUUAUGUAUUGUAUGCACAUCCCUAGUUAAAAAAUAAUAAUAAUCCAAAGUUAGAUGCAAAAGAAAGCAGGUGUGUACUUUAUUUUUUUAGGCAUUAAACUGACCAGUGGAGGCUCAGUGUUGGGUUUGAGGACGCUUCUGACUACCUGCAACACCUGGAGCAAAAUCUAAACACAUGUCGCUCACUUCUUGUGUUUCCUUUAUCUGCAUGUGAUGAACUUGGCAGAUGAAAGAUAUGUCACUUGAUUUUGCACUAUAUACUGCGUGGGAAUACAUGUUUUCUUUUGCAUCAUUCAUCAAACGCCCACUUAUGUUUAGUCCUGCAAAGUGUUUGGGAACCUUGCUACAAGCUGGUUUAAUGGAAGAAGAGCUAUGAUACUUUCAGUCACAUGCCCUCACUCCCGCUGUGAUCGAGGAAGAAAACUAACUUUUGUCCUCUAGCCAGUGACGGAUAAAUCUGUAGACAAAUCGAGAGCUGCUUUCAAAUUUAGCAUGGAUUUCAGAACGGGAUGCCCCCUAAAGAUUUACAAGCACUGGCUAGUGGCUGGUAUUAAUUUUACAACCUGGUCUUGAUUACAGAGAAUUAAAAUAAAAAUAAACCAUUAUAAAAAAAUUGCAAGUCUAUGGUUCCACUGUAUGCCAUGUGCUAGGAGUUUCUCCCCUAAAAGUUAUAUUUGCAUUCAAAGACACAUUUCAUGCAAAUGGUACAGUUUUUCUUUUUUUUUCCAAACAAAGAAACACACAUUUCUUUUAUAUGUUCAUCUAAAAAAGAAGCUUAUUUUCUUUUUAUAUAUAUUUAUAUUUAUAUAUAUCGUAUAUAUAUAUAUCAGUUAAUUUUUUUCUACACUUUUCCAGGGCAGGCACCGUACACACACCGGGUACAGAGGCAUGCCACACUUGCAUUGCUUUUUGCAUUCUACAGUUGGUUGGCUGACAGGCACGAUGUCAUCCAGGCAGUGCUGCGGUUGUUUUUUAAAGAGACUGAGGGCUGUUUCCUCGCCUCUGGGAGGAAGCAUCACUUCCUCUGUGCCAGGAUGAUGGAUAACCCAGUUGGCCACUGCAGCGCCUUCUCUGCACCUUCAGCAUAGAUGAGACAAAGAGAAGAAAACGAGGAGGAGGAGGAGGAGGAGCAAUACAGCUGAGGAAACCCCCUCCCCUCUCUAAAGGUCACGUCGCACCACCACUGGUUCCCCUGCCGUGACCUCUGACCCCUCUCUGCGACUGUGCAGCCCCUGCAGGAGUCUGCAACUGGGCUUAAAUCUAAUCAAAGCACCAGGCAAACAGCAGAAUCGUCAGAUGGGUGGAGUCUCUCUUGACUGAUAGAUCAGUUUGUCAGAGUAAGUGCUGCAGUUUCCUUCCCUGUUAUUACCAACACUGAGGCUCCAAAAGGAAGCAUUAUCUCUCCAGCCCCGUUUCCUGUUUACACAGAUGAAUAUGGGACGAACUCAUCUGAUGUGGUCAAUGUUAAAUUUGUUGGUUUGAUUACUGAGAAUGAAACGAAGCAUCAGGGAUGAGUGGAUGAGGUUGUAAACUGCUGUCAUGCUUGUUUUCUUCACCUAAAUGCCAAGAAAAUUAAGGAGAUGAUUUUUGAUUUCAGAGGGGGCAGAAGGACACGCAAACAAGUGGCUAUUAAUGGUGACUGUACCCAAAGUGUAAAUGAAUAGAAAUAUUUAGGGACAGUAACUGAUGAGAAACUGGGAUUCAAACACUUACAGGAAAGAAUCGAAACAAUUAUACUUUUUAUAAGGAAGGUUUAACAGUUUGGAGUGGGCAAUAAGAUUGUAAUAUGUCCGGCAAUAUGUCAGUGAUGUAUCACAUCUUCAUGAAUAUGAGUUGUGUGUCGCUUGCUUUUGUUGCUGUCGCUGCUACUUAGUAAUCAUUAGUGCUGUGCAGUGAAUGGUUUUUAUUUCAUUUCUGUGCCUCCUUCAUCUUCCACGGUGAGAUAUGGAGGGUUAAUGUUUAACAUCACAUGACCUCAGUAUGUCACUGCAAAGCAGCUGAAAUAAGCAGCUGCCUACUGAGGAGAAAAAAGUAACUUAUUUCCCUAAUGUUAACUUGGAUACCAUGUCUGUGAGUUUACUGAUAUUUAGCGCUACUCUUGCUAUGUUUAACUUAUUGUUUGAUAAUAUCCCUGUGCGGUUUGACCAGCUUCAUGUUGAUUUGAGGCUUCAGUUUACUGUGUGGCUAAGGCAGAGCCGGAGACGCAGCUAAAAAGCAAACAGGAGAUUUGUUUGAAUGUUUGUUUGUUGUUUUCUGACACUUUUAGUCCUGAGGAGUAAACACAUAAAGGAACUCAGCAAAAGACCACGCUACCUCAUCUCACACUUGCACCUUGGCGACAGCGAGUGUAAAUAAAGCCAAAUUGUUGAAGAGACCAGUCACACACUUAACAUCUUCCACCCUGCCUCCUAUGACGAGACUGUUGUUUCAUUCAUGGGUAAGCACAGCAGUACAAGUAAACCAAAUUUAAAAUUUACUAGUGCAUUAACUUCACCUGUACCUACAAUAAAUCUAGUUUUCAAUGCUUCAGCUUUACAUGACACUCUGUUAGAGAGGUGAUGUUGGAGUAAUACUGAGGCUAUACCUACAAAUACUUACAAAUUGAUUGUAGAAAAAUUGGUAAUUCAGGUCAAUACAACACCACCACUAAAUAAUGAUUACUCUAGAGCUGAAUGAACGCCUAGAUGACACAGCGUCAACAGAAACUGAGCAGUGUACAUUGACAGGAUUUUUGCAGAGCUGGAUUUUCAUUGUACUGGACUGUGUCAGAUCUGAAGGUGUACCUGUGUGUGACUUUUUAAAUAACUGAAAAACUACAUGUCCUCACCCUCUGACCAUUUUUCCUCAGACAAUAUUUUACUUAGCAAACUGACAAGUACUCAACGAACUAUUAGAUCACAAUGUACUUUGGCAGACUUUAACUCUGCCUGCAGCAUUCGAGAAUAAUACAGCACUCAUAACAAGUAUCAUCUGUAGCAGUGGUGGGAAAAUAGUGGCCCUCCAACAAAAAAUAUUUAGCACUUGACAGAAGCUAUCUAGAGAUGGAAAUGGUGACUGUCUCAGGUGCCUUGGAGCACUGUUUGCUAAUUGACACAAAAUCUGCAUGCAAAACACAUGUAAACAUUUAAUUAGAUGUGCUAUUUGCUGUGAUCCCAGUAUUCAGACUGACUAAAUAUACUUAAGAAAAAUUUAAGAGCAAUUUCCCUUUGCUGCUUUCAGACACAUCAGCCGUCCUCUGUGACCCUCAGGGGCUCAGCUGAAGAGGCGCCAACGGUUGAAAAACAAAUAUGCGAGAAGCAAGGUGGAAAACUAUGGUUUGACAGUCUUAGAAGUCAGCACACUUGUCAUGAUGAGAUUAUGCAAAGGCAGAGGAACACGCUGUGAACGAGCAGUGAAUUGUGAGGAUCCUGCAUUAGCAUGACAUAUUAUUAUAUUUCAAAAGACAAUAUGAAAACAAUAUGACAAUGUUAAAUGGGUCACUCGUAGUGGUGAAACUACAGAGAACUAUUACCUGAAUCUGCAGCUCGCCUCAGCUUUACAGAGCUUUAUAGUGAGUUUCAUCUCGUUGUUCAGCUGUCUGACCCUUCAUCUUUACUGAUUUGCUUCAUUCUCACUGCUCUCAUCAUUUUGGUCACAGCAGGAAUCUGUUCAGAGAAAAAGCUCUGGUGAACUCACUGUUCACUACAUGCUCAGCACCAAACAGCAGACGGACACAGUUAACAACUAUCUGAUGCAUACAGUGGAGCAUUUAGCAGCUAAAGCACCAGAUACUGAUGUUGGGAGUUGAUACAGACCAAUACAGAGCUAAAAGGAGAGUGAGCACAUACAUGACUCUAAAUAAGUCAUAAUGUAAUGUAAUGCUCUGUAACUGCUGCAUGUAUACAUUUUUAUUUUAAAAUACUGCUGCUGUGCCAUCUAUUUAAAAUGCACCCUGCUACUCUGGACACAUAUAUUGAUCCUGCUGCUUUGUGAUGACCACAGAUAUUUAAUAAAGUCAAGGAAAAGGAUCCUACAUUCUACUUUUGUUUGUCAGUGUGAGACAGGUGUUUUAAGAGUUGUGUGGAGCUGGCAACACUGUGAUGCUGAAGGACAUGGAGCUGAGCUCCAGCAGAGUGCUGUGUAGAUGCCAAGAGGUGCAGUUCAGCUCCAGUGGGCUGCAGCCCAAUCUAAACCCUGGGCAUGCAAAUUUUUUUCAUUCCUUUUGACACUUUCUUUCAGUUUUAUGUGGACUCCAUACCCAUAGGUUUAGACCUGAGGUUGAAGCUUUAACCACAACAGUGCAAUAGAUGAUAACAAGCUUGAUGCUUUCACUGAAACACCAAAUACAUUGUGCACCUGAUCAGUAUUCAACAUCAGGGAACAGAAGUUGAAUAAAAUACAAACGUUAGUUGAUGGCAGUUGUCACAGUUUGUGUGUCUGCACUGUAAGUGGUCGCACCUUCUGCCUUGGAGCACUGUUUGCCACAGACUAACAAAUGUCGAAACUUUUCAUUGGAUGAGCUGCACGCUGUUGUCACAAUACAAACACAACUAGGGUACAUAUAUUUGACGUGCAUCAGUCAGAAAAUCAGAAUACUGAUUCCGGUUGAAGGCAUCAGGUUGUCAUCGGUAUUCACACCUGUCAACAACUGCAAACUAAA